rnacentral:tRNA from 1 species
AGAUACUUAGUCCAAAAUUAAGACUAUUGAUUUCGGCUCAAUUGAUUAUGGUGAAAGCCCAUAAGUAUCUU